CAAAAAUGAGGCUUUAUCGUUGGUUGUAUGUGUUUUUGUACUUUGGAUGCUGCUUUUAUUGUAAAAUGAUUCUUGUCCUGUGAACUCCAGAGUACCUUUUGUUCUGUGAAAGUCAGUUGAACUCAGGCCUACGUGACUGAGGGGGAGGUCAUCGUGACCGAAGUUAUACAAGAUAUGUUCCAGAUGUUAUGUGAUUUCAAAAUGUCCUGCCAACAGGUCCAAGGAAGGACGAGGUUUUGGUAAUCCACGUCAUUGUUAUUGUUCACUGGGUCUAUUUAAGGGUGAACGGAAUAAACGGGGUGUCCCUUUUCCCUCAACUGCAUACAAGUUGUGUUGUGCCUCUUAUUAUUCCACAACAUUUGGCGUCACGAACAGGAUUGGAAGGAAAGACGUUGAUGCUCGUGGCCUUCUGACCCGCACCAUAUUGCAAACCAACGGCCGUAAAAACAGUUUCAGAUGCUCGAAGCAGAGCUCUACGCCACAAAGACAAGAUCAUCAAACACCUGACAGGUCCGCUAUACUUCAACCCAAAGUGCAGGAGUCACUUCCGCAGACUUUACCACAAUAUCAGGGACU